GGGGGGCAGUCUACCAUGCAGUCGAGCGGAACGAUGGGAGCUUGCUCCCAGGCGUCGAGCGGCGGACGGGUGAGUAAUGCAUAGGAAUCUGCCCGAUAGUGGGGGAUAACCUGGGGAAACCCAGGCUAAUACCGCAUACGUCCUACGGGAGAAAGCAGGGGCUCUUCGGACCUUGCGCUAUCGGAUGAGCCUAUGUCGGAUUAGCUGGUUGGUGAGGUAAUGGCUCACCAAGGCGACGAUCCGUAGCUGGUCUGAGAGGAUGAUCAGCCACAUCGGGACUGAGACACGGCCCGAACUCCUACGGGAGGCAGCAGUGGGGAAUAUUGGACAAUGGGCGAAAGCCUGAUCCAGCCAUGCCGCGUGUGUGAAGAAGGCCCUCGGGUUGUAAAGCACUUUCAGUGGGGAAGAAAGCCUUGGGGCUAAUACCCUCGAGGAAGGACAUCACCCACAGAAGAAGCACCGGCUAACUCCGUGCCAGCAGCCGCGGUAAUACGGAGGGUGCGAGCGUUAAUCGGAAUUACUGGGCGUAAAGCGCGCGUAGGUGGCUUGAUAAGCCGGUUGUGAAAGCCCCGGGCUCAACCUGGGAACGGCAUCCGGAACUGUCAGGCUAGAGUGCAGGAGAGGAAGGUAGAAUUCCCGGUGUAGCGGUGAAAUGCGUAGAGAUCGGGAGGAAUACCAGUGGCGAAGGCGGCCUUCUGGACUGACACUGACACUGAGGUGCGAAAGCGUGGGUAGCAAACAGGAUUAGAUACCCUGGUAGUCCACGCCGUAAACGAUGUCGACUAGCCGUUGGGAGCCUCGAGUUCUUAGUGGCGCAGUUAACGCGAUAAGUCGACCGCCUGGGGAGUACGGCCGCAAGGUUAAAACUCAAAUGAAUUGACGGGGGCCCGCACAAGCGGUGGAGCAUGUGGUUUAAUUCGAUGCAACGCGAAGAACCUUACCUACCCUUGACAUCGUGCGAACUUGGUAGAGAUACCUUGGUGCCUUCGGGAACGCACAGACAGGUGCUGCAUGGCUGUCGUCAGCUCGUGUUGUGAAAUGUUGGGUUAAGUCCCGUAACGAGCGCAACCCUUGUCCCUAUUUGCCAGCGAUUCGGUCGGGAACUCUAGGGAGACUGCCGGUGACAAACCGGAGGAAGGUGGGGACGACGUCAAGUCAUCAUGGCCCUUACGGGUAGGGCUACACACGUGCUACAAUGGUCGGUACAAAGGGUUGCAAAGCGGCGACGUGGAGCUAAUCCCAGAAAGCUGAUCUCAGUCCGGAUCGGAGUCUGCAACUCGACUCCGUGAAGUCGGAAUCGCUAGUAAUCGUGAAUCAGAAUGUCACGGUGAAUACGUUCCCGGGCCUUGUACACACCGCCCGUCACACCAUGGGAGUGGACUGCACCAGAAGUGGUUAGCCUAACUUCGGAGGGCGAUCACCAGCGGUUUGUUACCG
rnacentral:rRNA from 1 species